rnacentral:lncRNA from 1 species
AGGAGGAUCUUGGGAAACGGUGUGGGAGCUAGCUGCUGAGGGAGUGGGCAGAGGGUUUCUGCACAGCAGGGCUGGGACAGCAGCAGGAGAAGCUGGGGGAGGAGAAGCAGCUUAACCACAAAGCAUCAGAGAACUUCAGAAGCUGUGAUAACUGCUAUACCAAGGCCAAGCUGGAAGGAAAAGUUCAGUUAGCUCCAGGUAGCAUUGUCCAGGCUGGGAGAUGUGCUUACCCCACAGUUUAGAUCAUGUUGGCCAGAUUUCCCACACUUUAACCUUCAGAUCGUAGUUUUGACUCAAGGAGAAAAUUCAACUUACCGGUUUUAUGAGCUGCAGGAGCCACAGAAAUCAAGCAUUCUUCUGGUGAAGCUUUCUAAGAUCAGAAGUGCCAAUGAAAUCAAGGAUGACAAAUGAACGAUGUGUUAAAACAGGUGUGGCAGUGGAGAAAGGAGCCCUUGUGGUCACUGCUGCCCACAGACUGGCACUGGGUGCGUGCAUACUGACAGUCACAGACUCCACUGUAGUUUGAGCAUCCGAAGAGCAUAAAGCCUGGGUGGCUAUGAAUGACUUCCAUGUGUCAUUUGAAUGAAGGUAUUUUGAAGACUGGCUAUUGACACCUGAAACAAUUACUAUUCUGCUCGUGGAUUUGACACCUCAGACUAGUUAAUCACCAGAGGGGCUUCACAUGCCAUCAGAAGGUGAGAGCUUUCACUAUAGAAAUACCAAAGUCCUGACAGCAGCUCGUGGCAGAGGGCAGGAAUGGUGUCCAUUUGCACUUAGAAUAUUUGCAUGCAGUGGUGUUUGUAAUGUAUCCUGAGGGCAAUGUGGACCUUCAAAUCCAAACUCAUCUCCUGCAGCCAAGGCCACUUCUUGCCCUUGGGAAAAGCAGUCACAGUGGCAAGGAUGCCUAGACGUGUAAAUGGGGAGUUCCUGCAUUGUGCUGGAGGCAAGCUGUAGAGCAGUGAGCUGCUGUGGCAUAAAACACCAGAAUGUUGGCUCUUGGCUCCAUGAAGUGGCCAACAUCAGCAUGAGUAACUGGGUGGCUAAUUAGAGGUAACUGUCUACUUGGAAGAACUUUCUUCAUGUCUCAUUUUGAACUCCCUGAGUGUGGUGGUCUAGGAAGUAAUUAACAUGCUUUUAGCCUCAGGGUUACUUGUGGCUGGAUUCAUAAACAUAGAUACUGUUGUACAUUACUAAUUUUUGAUUUACAAAGUACCAACAGUUUGAUUUAAGAAAUUGCCGGAGUUAAUCUUGAUUUUAUGCACUGUAAAUGUUUCAUAUACUAUAAACUUUCCUGUAAACAUAAAUUGUCAGCAGAAAAAAAUCUAGGAAGCCUUCUUUCACUUUUUUUAUUAGUUCUAUUUCAGGAGCAGAGGCUCUGCACUAUGAAUAGCUUUGGCAAGCAUAUUCCCUUAGCUCCUACCUGUUCAAG